rnacentral:rRNA from 1 species
AACGAACGCUGGCGGCAGGCUUAACACAUGCAAGUCGAGCGCCCCGCAAGGGGAGCGGCAGACGGGUGAGUAACGCGUGGGAAUCUACCCAUCUCUACGGAAUAACGCAUGGAAACGUGUGCUAAUACCGUAUACGUCCUUCGGGAGAAAGAUUUAUCGGAGAUGGAUGAGCCCGCGUUGGAUUAGCUAGUUGGUGGGGUAAAGGCCUACCAAGGCGACGAUCCAUAGCUGGUCUGAGAGGAUGAUCAGCCACACCGGGACUGAGACACGGCCCAGACUCCUACGGGAGGCAGCAGUGGGGAAUAUUGGACAAUAGGCGCAAGCCUGAUCCAGCCAUGCCGCGUGAGUGAUGAAGGCCCUAGGGUUGUAAAGCUCUUUCACCGGUGAAGAUAAUGACGGUAACCGGAGAAGAAGCCCCGGCUAACUUCGUGCCAGCCGCCGCGGUAAGAC